GACGAACGCUGGCGGCAUGCCUAAUACAUGCAAGUCGAGCGAACAGAUGAAGUGCUUGCACUUCUGACGUUAGCGGCGAACGGGUGAGUAACACGUAAGGAAUCUACCUAUAAGCGGGGGAUAACAUUCGGAAACGGGUGCUAAUACCGCAUAAUAUCUUCUUCCGCAUGGAAGAAGAUUGAAAGACGGCUCUGCUGUCACUUAUAGAUGACCUUGCGGUGCAUUAGUUAGUUGGUGGGGUAACGGCCUACCAAGACGAUGAUGCAUAGCCGACCCGAGAGGGUGAUCGGCCACAUUGGGACUGAGACACGGCCCAAACUCCUACGGGAGGCAGCAUUGGGGAAUCUUCCGCAAUGGGCGAAAGCCUGACGGAGCAAUGCCGCGUGAGUGAAGAAGGCCUUCGGUUCGUAAAACUCUGUUAUAAGAGAAGAACAAAUUGUAGAGUAACUGCUACAGUCUUGACGGUAUCUUAUCAGAAAGCCACGGCUAACUACGUGCCAGCCGCCGCCGUAA
rnacentral:rRNA from 1 species